AAGUCGUAACAAGGUUUCCGUAGGUGAACCUGCGGAAGGAUCAUUAGUAAUGUGCGAGGCGAAAGCCAAGCAUUUAUUAUACCUUACACACCUGUGCACCUGCCCUUUGGGCAUUUUUAACAAACUACAAGUCUUGAAUGUAAUAUAACAAAAACAAAUACAACUUUCAACAACGGAUCUCUUGGCUCUC
rnacentral:misc_RNA from 1 species